UUCAGAUUACUGAUAGUGAUGUUGUUUGUGAAGGAUGCUGGGAGCUUGCAAUGGGUGCUGUUAAUCAAGUUUUACAAGAAGAAAUAAAUCCUCAGGGUGGCCAGCAAGCUUCAUCAUCUAACCAUGGCCAUUCUCAAGUGUGCAUUUUAUGUGGCUGUUCCAUUUUGCGAAGACAAAGUGAUUUGAUAUUUAGAGAAAAUCCAUCACAAUUACAAAUACAAGUGGUUUCAAUAAUUGAAGGAAGAAUUUCACCAAGACAAGUAAAUAUUGGGAAUACCAGAAUACUGCUGCAACUGUUUAGUGGGCAGACGCAUAAUUGGUUGUUGUGUGCAUGUAAUGACGCUCCUGUGGUACGUUGGAUGAGCUAGACAUCAAACCAAUAGAAAUGCACCUGCGGAAUUUCUCGAUGAAGUUUUAAUUAGAGACGAAGAAAUAUAAA